rnacentral:rRNA from 1 species
GGUUGAUCCUGCCAGUAGUCAUAUGCUUGUCUCAAAGAUUAAGCCAUGCAUGUCUAAGUAUAAGCAAAUCUAUACUGUGAAACUGCGAACGGCUCAUUAAAUCAGUUAUAGUUUAUUUGAUGGUACCUUACUACAUGGAUAACUGUGGUAAUUCUAGAGCUAAUACAUGCACAAAAGGCCCUUCACGGGGUUGUAUUUAUUAGAUAAAAGACCAAUGGGUUUCGGCCCUUUUGGUGAAUCAUGAUAACUGCUCGAAUCGCAUGGCCUUGUGCCGGCGAUGCUUCAUUCAAAUA